rnacentral:lncRNA from 1 species
UUAGUUGUGCGCGCCCGCGCUCUGCUGUCUGCAGACCGCGUGCGCCGGCAGUGGCUCUAAGGGGGCCGCGAGGGCACAGCGGGGCAGGACCGCGGCAGAGCGCAGUAAGGAGAGUGUGGACCCUCGCCCUGUCCUCUAAGCUCCAUGUGAAAUGUGGAUAAUAUUCCUUACUGCCAUAAAUAGCCACUGGCCGCUGACUACGCGUAAGGCAAACAAGCGACCUGCGUUCAAGGGACCCGAAGACUAGGGGAGAAGCAGCGAGCGGGUCGCGGCCGCCUACCCAACGGACGCCUCUGCCCAGGUUCUCUGCCGGGAAGCUUCGUCCUUCCGGGCCCCAGCGCAGCCGGAGGCUGGGGAGCUGCUGCCUGGAAGGGUCAGAUACCGCCUGUUAGGCGGAGGGUGGGAAAGACACUCUCCUGCUUCAGGAGCUAUCGCAGACAACCGGAGGGCGGCUUAUCGCAGAGUCCCAGAGCCAGCCAGCAAGGCAAGGUCGCGGGUGCACCUUUCACUCCCAGAAGCUUGGGUCUGGGACUGCACCACGCAACGUUUGCCCAUUUUGAGGGCUUUAGGUGUUUCAUAUUUCAGUUAAUAGAAUUUCGAUUAAUACAUAA